GACGAACGCUGGCGGCGUGCCUAAUACAUGCAAGUAGAACGCACAGUUUAUACCGUAGCUUGCUACACCAUAGACUGUGAGUUGCGAACGGGUGAGUAACGCGUAGGUAACCUGCCUGGUAGCGGGGGAUAACUAUUGGAAACGAUAGCUAAUACCGCAUAAUAUUAAUUAUUGCAUGAUAAUUAAUUGAAAGGUGCAAUUGCACCACUACCAGAUGGACCUGCGUUGUAUUAGCUAGUAGGUGAGGUAACGGCGCACCUAGGCGACGAUACAGAGCCGACCUGAGAGGGUGAUCGGCCACACUGAGACUGAGACACGGCCCAGACUCCUACGGGAGGCAGCAGUAGGGAAUCUUCGGCAAGGGACGGAAGACUGACCGAGCAACGCCGCGGGAGUGAAGAAGGUUGUCGGAUCGUAAAGCUCUGUUGUAAGAGAAGAACGGGUGUGAGAGUGGAAAGUUCACACUGUGACGGUAUCUUACCAGAAAGGGGCGGCUAACUACGUG
rnacentral:rRNA from 1 species